AUUAGGUCCAUAACUCUUUCAUUACUUGUAAAUACUCCUAUUAACUAUUAGUCAAUCUUUUUAUCAAUUCUUGAUCAAUUUGUCUUAAAAUUUAUUCUCGUAUAAGCAUAGUGAGAUCAACGCGAACCACAAUUUUUCCUACACUCGUGAAAUCCCAAAAUAUAAAAAUCUUUAUCUUAGAUCCUCUGAUGUAUCAUUAUUCCUAUUUGCAUCAAAUUUUCUAACAAUUAUCCUUAAUUUGUCAAACCUCUA
rnacentral:lncRNA from 1 species